rnacentral:rRNA from 1 species
GCCAGCAGCCGCGGUAACACCGGCGGCCCGAGUGGUGAUCGUGAUUAUUGGGUCUAAAGGGUCCGUAGCCGGUUUGGUCAGUCCUCCGGGAAAUCUGAUAGCUCAACUAUUAGGCUUUCGGGGGAUACUGCCAGACUUGGAACCGGGAGAGGUAAGAGGUACUACAGGGGUAGGAGUGAAAUCUUGUAAUCCCUGUGGGACCACCUGUGGCGAAGGCGUCUUACCAGAACGGGUUCGACGGUGAGGGACGAAAGCUGGGGGCACGAACCGGAUUAGAUACCCGGGUAGUCCCAGCCGUAAACGAUGCUCGCUAGGUGUCAGGCAUGGCGCGACCGUGUCUGGUGCCGCAGGGAAGCCGUGAAGCGAGCCACCUGGGAAGUACGGCCGCAAGGCUGAAACUUAAAGGAAUUGGCGGGGGAGCACAACAACGGGUGGAAGCCUGCGGUUUAAUUGGACUCAACGCCGGACAACUCACCGGGGGCGACAGCAAUAUGUAGGCCAAGCUGAAGACUUUGCCUGAAUCGCUGAGAAGAGGUGCAUGG